rnacentral:sRNA from 3 species
AUAUCUCUCUGUACGGGAAGGAUGAGAAGCUUCGACUAAGGUUCGAUUCGAGCGAAAGCGAGAAAGCAUUGCCAACGGCAACGACCCGAAGGGCGAAGCGCGCAGCGCUGAGUCAUCCUUCCCCCACCACCA